UACGGGGGGGGCUAGCGUUGUUCGGAAUUACUGGGCGUAAAGCGCGCGUAGGCGGGUGGGCAAGUCAAGGGUGAAAUCCCGAGGCUCAACCGUGGAACUGCUGCCGAUACUGCAUGUCUCGAGUCCGGGAGAGGUGAGUGGAAUUCCUAGUGUAGAGGUGAAAUUCGUAGAUAUUGGGAAGAACACCAGUGGCGAAGGCGGCUCACUGGUCCGGUACUGACGCUGAGGCGCGAAAGCGAGGGGAGCAAACAGG
rnacentral:rRNA from 1 species